rnacentral:rRNA from 1 species
UACGGGGGGGGCAAGCGGUUGUUCGGAAUUACUGGGCGUAAAGGGCUCGUAGGCGGCCAACUAAGUCAGACGUGAAAUCCCUCGGCUUAACCGGGGAACUGCGUCUGAUACUGGAUGGCUUGAGUUUGGGAGAGGGAUGCGGAAUUCCAGGUGUAGCGGUGAAAUGCGUAGAUAUCUGGAGGAACACCGGUGGCGAAGGCGACCCGAUCU